UAUUAGGUUGGUGCAAAAGUAAUUGCGGUUUUUGACAUUGAAAUUGAAAGUAAUGGCCAAAACAGCAGUUACUUUGGCAUCAGCCUA
rnacentral:miRNA from 1 species